UACGUAGGUGGCAAGCGUUGUCCGGAUUUAUUGGGCGUAAAGGGAGCGCAGGCGGUGACUUAAGUCUGAUGUGAAAGCCCACGGCUCAACCGUGGAAGGUCAUUGGAAACUGGGUCACUUGAAUAUAGAAGAGGAAAGUGGAAUUCCAUGUGUAGCGGUGAAAUGCGUAGAUAUAUGGAGGAACACCAGUGGCGAAGGCGACUUUCUGGUCUAUUAUUGACGCUGAGGCUCGAAAGCAUGGGUAGCAAACAGGAUUAGAUACCCG
rnacentral:rRNA from 1 species